rnacentral:rRNA from 1 species
CUAUACAUGACUCUGCGCAUAUCAAUAAGCGGAGGAAAAGAAACUAACAAGGAUUCCCUUAGUAACGGCGAGUGAAGCGGGAAGAGCUCAAAUUUGAAAUCUUAAAGGGUUUCCCCUUUACGAAUUGUAGUUUAAAGAAGUGUUUUCUGUUGAGGUUUUGGUAAAAGUUCUUUGGAAUAGGACAUCAUAGAGGGUGAGAAUCCCGUAUUUGACCUUUACUUUCAACUUUGUGAUACACUUUCAAAGAGUCGGAUUGUUUGGGAAUGCAGUCCAAAAUGGGUGGUAAAUUUCAUCUAAAGCUAAAUAUUGGCGAGAGACCGAUAGCGAACAAGUACCGUGAGGGAAAGAUGAAAAGAACUUUGAAAAGAGAGUUAGACAGUACGUGAAAUUGUCAAAAGGGAAGCGUUUGACACCAGUGUUGUUUUCUCGAAAAUCAAUUAAAAAUGGCUCGAUUUUGUAUUGUUGAGACCUUAAAAGCUCACUGUACAUUUUUCGUGUCUUUUUUAAUGCACUUUUCGUUUAACAAGUCAACAUCAGUUUCUUUUGUUGUAAAAGGGUCACUGGAAGGUGGCUUUCUUUUCGGAGAAAGUGUUUAUAGCCUUUGGCCUCUGCAAUCGGAGAGACUGAGGUCUGCAGCGUAGACUCUUCGGGGUUAGAUACAUUUGUGCUAAGUUAUAGCUUUUUAUAGACAACUUGUUGACUAUAAUUAGUCUUGUAGCUUACUCGCUUAUGCUAUUUUACCUACGCUUAGGAUGUUGACAUACGCGCGUGCUUGAUCUAUACAUGACUCUGCGCAUAUCAAUAAGCGGAGGAAAAGACUGCGGAACUGAACGACCGCUACCUACGCUUAGGAUGUUGACAGCAGUAUAGACUGU